AAAGGUAUCACUCACUGCCUAGAUGCAGCACACAGUAAUCUGGUGUCGCGCCCGGAUUCAGCGCCCUUGACUCAGCCCCUUGCAACCACUAUGCUCCUAAUGUCACCGGAGAGGACAUGGCCACCGCCCUGCUGUAGGACCAUGAAUAACAUCGACCAUGUGGCAUCAAGGGAGAUAUCAUGACCACGGUUAGGAGCCAGCAUGCGAGUGUCAUAAAGAAACCGCCGUCCCACUAUCCAAAGCUGGCUGGCUGCUUAUGGGGAUCUCGCACCAUAAGUCCGACGAGUUCCUCAGCGGUGGAUGUGGCGCACUGCUGGUGUGGUCGAAGAGAACACCGCUAUCCUCACAGCCGCUAUCGAUGUCCUACUGCUUGGUAGUGGAUUACCAGGACUUCCUCAAGUACGAGGUGUCCAAGAUGGUUUCACUUAAUCUGGUGCAGGCAUAUGUGAUGUGGCUCGGCUCUGAGGUUGACGUGGCCUGACCUCGGUUACAAACCUCUAUGUUGAAGAGGAGGAAGAUAAUAGCCACCAAGUAGGCUAGCUGAAUAGAUUGCAUCUUUUAAGGUAAUUGGCAUAUUGCAUAUAUGGUUUGGUGUAGUAUACAACCAUUUUCAACUGAGUAGUUGGUUAAUUAACUGACUGAUGCUACCUUAACUGAUGUGCAUGUCAAUAGUCAGACUGAAGGCAGGUCCGUAGCUAGCCGAUGUCCAUGCUAACAGAUCUUGGUGAUGGUGUGAACUUGUUCUAUGUGCUAAACUAAUUUUGUGAAUAGCUACAUCAAUGAUCCCUUAAUUUUGUGCUGAAAUGAUACAUGGAUCGACUUUGAGCAUUUUAUUUGUGCCAUCUCUUUUUUCUGAACAAAAUACCAGGUGCAUGUUCCGGUUUCAUGUCCUGGUAUUAUAACAAAUCUAGGAAGAGAUUGUCUCUGAAAGUGAGUCGCAAAUGGAUAGGUUUAUUUUUGCAACGCGGGAGAUGGCCAACAUAGAUGCUUAGAUGCUAUGUCAGUUAGUGGUCUUCAUCUUCCUCCUAUUUGUACCUCCCUGCCACUCUUGAUCUGGUAGUGUGCUCUAAACCAAAGGUACCGGCUGCACAUCGUCGAUCUCACUCAUCGAGAAGUACACAAUGAGGUGUAUGACUAGCUUGGCAUUAAGUUCUAGGUGUUCAGUAUUUUUGUUUAGAAGCUAUAUUUAGAUAUUUUGAGCAGAUAAUGUUGAUGUGCUGUUUGUGAACACUUUUCUAUGCAAUGUGGCUAGCUAGCACAUUGCCAACACUGUAUAGACAUGUUUGAUGAUGAUGUCAUGUGUUUUGUUAUCUGCAUGUUACGCCAUGUGUCUGGUGCACGGGAGGGCUUGACAUCGAGCUUGACUACACAACCAGGGCCUCACUCUUCGCUGCGAGCUCGCCGCCGGCUGCUUUGUUCCAGUCAUUGUGUUUCAGUUCUUGUAAAUGUUCAGCUUGUUGAAUCGUGUCUAUGUCUUUUGUGUAGGUCACAAGUUGCAGCCUUUAAUUGCUAGGUUUCAUUUGUGUUUGGUUAAAGCUCAUCUCGAAGUGGAUUCUGUAUAUCUAAAUGUCACUCACAGUUGA